UACGUAGGGGGCAAGCGUUGUCCGGAAUCAUUGGGCGUAAAGAGCGUGUAGGCGGCCAGAUAAGUCCGCUGUGAAAUCUCGAGGCUCAACUUCGAGCUGUCGGUGGAAACUGUCUGGCUAGAGUCCGGAAGAGGAGAGUGGAAUUCCUGGUGUAGCGGUGAAAUGCGCAGAUAUCAGGAAGAACACCCGUGGCGAAGGCGGCUCUCUGGGACGGUACUGACGCUGAGACGCGAAAGCGUGGGGAGCAAACAGG
rnacentral:rRNA from 1 species